UGGGGAAUAUUGCGCAAUGGGCGAAAGCCUGACGCAGCAACACCGCGUGAGGGAUGACGGCCUUCGGGUUGUAAACCUCUUUCAGCUCCGACGAAGCGAAAGUGACGGUAGGAGCAGAAGAAGCACCGGCUAACUACGUGCCAGCAGCCGCGGUAAUACGUAGGGUGCAAGCGUUGUCCGGAAUUAUUGGGCGUAAAGAGCUCGUAGGCGGUCCGUUGCGUCUGCCGUGAAAACCCGGAGCUCAACUCCGGGCCUGCGGUGGAUACGGGCGGACUAGAGUCCGGUAGGGGAGACUGGAAUUCCUGGUGUAGCGGUGGAAUGCGCAGAUAUCAGGAGGAACACCGGUGGCGAAGGCGGGUCUCUGGGCCGGAACUGACGCUGAGGAGCGAAAGCGUGGGGAGCGAACAGGAUUAGAUACCCUGGGUAGUCCACGCCGUAAACGGUGGGCGCUAGGUGUGGGGAUCG
rnacentral:rRNA from 1 species